rnacentral:rRNA from 1 species
GAGAACACGGGUUCCAGGAUUCCUACCGGGAGGCAGGCAGUGGGGAUAUGGCACAUGGGGGAAUCCUUGAUGCAGCAUGCGCGGUUGUGUGGAAGAAGCUCGGGUUGUAAAGCACUUUCAGCAGUGAGGAAAGGCGGGUAUCGUUAAACAAGCGGUAUCGUUUGACGUUAGCUGCAGAAGAAGCACCGGGCUAACUCCGUGCCAGCAGCCGCGGUAAUACGGAGGGUGCGAGCGUUAAUCGGAAUUACUGGGCGUAAAGCGCAUGCAGGCGGCUUGUUAAGCCAGAUGUGAAAGCCCGGGGCUCAACCUCGGAAUCGCAUUUGGAACUGGCAGGCUAGAGUCUUGUAGAGGGGGGUAGAAUUUCAGGUGUAGCGGUGAAAUGCGUAGAGAUCUGAAGGAAUACCGGUGGCGAAGGCGGCCCCCUGGACAAAGACUGACGCUCAGAUGCGAAAGCGUGGGGAGCAAACAGGAUUAGAUACCCUGGUAGUCCACGCCGUAAACGAUGUCUACUUGGAGGUUGGUGUCUUGAACACUGGCUUUCGGAGCUAACGCGUUAAGUAGACCGCCUGGGGAGUACGGUCGCAAGAUUAAAACUCAAAUGAAUUGACGGGGGCCCGCACAAGCGGUGGAGCAUGUGGUUUAAUUCGAUGCAACGCGAAGAACCUUACCUACUCUUGACAUCCACGGAAUCUAGCAGAGAUGCGGGAGUGCCUUCGGGAACCGUGAGACAGGUGCUGCAUGGCUGUCGUCAGCUCGUGUUGUGAAAUGUUGGGUUAAGUCCCGCAACGAGCGCAACCCUUAUCCUUGUUUGCCAGCACUUCGGGUGGGAACUCCAGGGAGACUGCCGGUGAUAAACCGGAGGAAGGUGGGGACGACGUCAAGUCAUCAUGGCCCUUACGAGUAGGGCUACACACGUGCUACAAUGGCAUAUACAGAGGGCAGCAAGACCGCGAGGUGGAGCGAAUCCCACAAAGUAUGUCGUAGUCCGGAUUGGAGUCUGCAACUCGACUCCAUGAAGUCGGAAUCGCUAGUAAUCGUGGAUCAGAAUGCCACGGUGUAUACGUUCCCGGGCCUUGUACACACCGCCAAAAACGGCCACCAGACUAUAGUUUGAUCCUGGCUCAGGAUAAGUCGUAACAAGGUAACCAUGCUAUAGUGUG